rnacentral:rRNA from 1 species
GACGAACCGUGCAAACGUUGUUCGGAAUCACUGGGCUUAAAGGGCGCGUAGGCGGAUAUCCAAGUCAGGGGUGAAAUCUUUCGGCUUAACCGGAAAAUUGCCUUUGAUACUGGGUGUCUCGAGGGAGGUAGGGGCAUGUGGAACUUCCGGUGGAGCGGUGAAAUGUGUUGAUAUCGGAAGGAACGCCGGUGGCGAAAGCGACGUGCUGGACCUCUUCUGACGCUGAGGCGCGAAAGCUAGGGUAGCGAACGGG